UACGGAGGGUGCAAGCGUUAAUCGGAAUUACUGGGCGUAAAGCGUGCGCAGGCGGUUUGUUAAGUCCGUUGUGAAAGCCCCGAGCUCAACUCCGGAACUGCCAUUGAUACUGCUUAGCUUGAAUCACGUCGAGGUGGAUGGAAUAAUACAUGUAGCGGUGAAAUGCUUAGAUAUGUAUUAGAACACCGAUUGCGAAGGCAGUUCACUAGGCGUGUAUUGACACUGAGGCACGAAAGCGUGGGGAUCAAACAGG
rnacentral:rRNA from 1 species